CGGCGUGCCUAACACAUGCAAGUCGUACGAGAAAGUCGGCUUCGGCUGAUGAGUAAAGUGGCGCACGGGUGAGUAACGCGUGGAUAAUCUGCCCUUGAGUGUGGAAUAACGUACCGAAAGGUGCGCUAAUACCGCAUAAUGCCUGGCAACACAAGUUGUCCGGCCAAAGAAGGCCUCUGUUUACAAGCUUUUGCUCAAGGAUGAGUCCGCGUACCAUUAGCUAGUUGGUGGGGUAACGGCCUACCAAGGCUACGAUGGUUAGCUGGUCUGAGAGGAUGAUCAGCCACACUGGAACUGAGACACGGUCCAGACUCCUACGGGAGGCAGCAGUGAGGAAUAUUGCGCAAUGGGGGCAACCCUGACGCAGCAACGCCGCGUGAGUGAGGAAGGUUUUCGGACUGUAAAGCUCUGUCGAGCGGGAAGAAAUGUACCAUGGCUAAUAUCCAUGAUAUUUGACGGUACCGCUAGAGGAAGCACCGGCUAACUCCGUG
rnacentral:rRNA from 1 species